UACGUAGGGUGCGAGCGUUGUCCGGAAUUAUUGGGCGUAAAGAGCUCGUAGGCGGCUUGUCGCGUCGGAUGUGAAAGCCCGGGGCUUAACUCCGGGUCUGCAUUCGAUACGGGCAGGCUAGAGUUCGGUAGGGGAGAUCAGAAUUCCUGAUGUAGCGGUGAAAUGCGCAGUUAUCAGGAGGAACACCGGUGGCGAAGGCGGAUCUCUGGGCCGAUACUGACGCUGAGGAGCGAAAGCGUGGGGAGCGAACAGG
rnacentral:rRNA from 1 species